rnacentral:rRNA from 1 species
GAAAGCACGACAAGGUUAAUCCGAGUGAUUUCUGCUAAAGGAAUCUUUUGUUAGUUCUAAAAAUACUAGUGAAUAAGGGGUGGGCAAGUUCUGGUGUCAGCCGCCGCGGUAAAACCAGCACCUCAAGUGGUCAGGAGGAUUAUUGGGCCUAAAGCAUCCGUAGCCCGUUCUAUAAGUUUGCGGUUAAAUCUAUACGCUCAACGUAUAGGCUGCUGUAAAUACUGUAGAACUAGGGAGUGGGAGAGGUAGACGGUACUCGAUAGGAAGGGGUAAAAUCCUUUGAUCUAUUGAUGACCACCUGUGGCGAAGGCGGUCUACCAGAACACGUUCGACGGUGAGGGAUGAAAGCUGGGGGAGCAAACCGGAUUAGAUACCCGGGUAGUCCCAGCUGUAAACGAUGCAGACUCGAUGAUGCAAUGGCAUAGAGCUAUUGCAGUAUCGCAGGGAAGCCGUUAAGUCUGCCGCCUGGGAAGUACGUACGCAAGUAUGAAACUUAAAGGAAUUGGCGGGGGAGCACCACAAGGGGUGAAGCCUGCGGUUCAAUUGGAGUCAACGCCAGAAAUCUUACCCGGAGAGACAGCAGAAUGAAGGUCAGGCUGAAGACCUUAC